CCUACGGGAGGCAGCAGUGAGGAAUAUUGGUCAAUGGACGAGAGUCUGAACCAGCCAAGUAGCGUGAAGGAUGACUGCCCUAUGGGUUGUAAACUUCUUUUAUAUGGGAAUAAACUGUUCCACGUGUGGGAUUUUGUAUGUACCCUAUGAAUAAGGAUCGGCUAACUCCGUGCCAGCAGCCGCGGUAAUACGGAGGAUCCGAGCGUUAUCCGGAUUUAUUGGGUUUAAAGGGAGCGUAGGUGGAUUGUUAAGUCAGUUGUGAAAGUUUGCGGCUCAACCGUAAAAUUGCAGUUGAAACUGGCAGUCUUGAGUACAGGAGAGGUGGGCGGAAUUCGUGGUGUAGCGGUGAAAUGCUUAGAUAUCACGAAGAACCCCGAUUGCGAAGGCAGUUCACUGGACUGCAACUGACACUGAGGCUCGAAAGUGUGGGUAUCAAACAGGAUUAGAUACCCGUGUAGUC
rnacentral:rRNA from 1 species